rnacentral:rRNA from 1 species
CUGGCUCAAGACGAACGCUGGCGGCGUGCCUAACACAUGCAAGUCGAACGGAGAUACGCGCUGAAUGGAUGGAGCUUGCUUUUGAAAUUCUUGUGUAUCUUAGUGGCGGACGGGUGAGUAACGCGUGAGCAACCUGCCUUUCAGAGGGGGAUAACGUUUGGAAACGAACGCUAAUACCGCAUGAGACCACAGUACUGCAUAGUACAGUGGCCAAAGGAGCAAUCCGCUGAAAGAUGGGCUCGCGUCCGAUUAGAUAGUUGGCGGGGUAACGGCCCACCAAGUCGACGAUCGGUAGCCGGACUGAGAGGUUGAACGGCCACAUUGGGACUGAGACACGGCCCAGACUCCUACGGGAGGCAGCAGUGAGGGAUAUUGGUCAAUGGGGGAAACCCUGAACCAGCAACGCCGCGUGAGGGAAGACGGUUUUCGGAUUGUAAACCUCUGUCCUCUGUGAAGAUAAUGACGGUAGCAGAGGAGGAAGCUCCGGCUAACUACGUGCCAGCAGCCGCGGUAAUACGUAGGGAGCGAGCGUUGUCCGGAUUUACUGGGUGUAAAGGGUGCGUANGCGGCCCUGCAAGUCAGAAGUGAAAUCCAUGGGCUUAACCCGUGAACUGCUUUUGAAACUGCAGGACUUGAGUGGAGUANNAGUAGGCGGAAUUCCCCGUGUAGCGGGUGAAUGCGUANAGAUCGGGAGGGAACA